AACGAACGCUGGCGGCAUGCCUAACACAUGCAAGUCGAACGAGACCUUCGGGUUUAGUGGCGCACGGGUGCGUAACGCGUGGGAACCUGCCCUUAGGUUCGGAAUAACUCCCCGAAAGGGAUGCUAAUACCGGAUAAUGUCUUCGGACCAAAGAUUUAUCGCCUUUGGAUGGGCCCGCGUUGGAUUAGCUAGUUGGUAGGGUAAAAGCCUACCAAGGCGACGAUCCAUAGCUGGUCUGAGAGGAUGAUCAGCCACACUGGGACUGAGACACGGCCCAGACUCCUACGGGAGGCAGCAGUGGGGAAUAUUGGACAAUGGGCGAAAGCCUGAUCCAGCAAUGCCGCGUGAGUGAUGAAGGCCUUAGGGUUGUAAAGCUCUUUUACCCGGGAUGAUAAUGACAGUACCGGGAGAAUAAGCUCCGGCUAACUCCGUG
rnacentral:rRNA from 1 species